AGCAAACAAUUUCGCGCGUAGGGUUGCGUUCAAUGCCAUAAAUUAAGAUUUUAACACUAAACGUGCAUCAGCCCAGUCAGCUGAUUGCACAGAAUGCACAUACACAAAUUCAAUUAUGAGCAUACCAGAUAAUCCUACGCCUGUAUAACACUGAUUGGUCAUUUUAACGACUUUCGGUUGUUAGUGUUGGUGACCAAAGUAGGCCUGGUUUUCUCAACGGUCAUUUUGCCUCCAUAACGAAGGUGCCGGAGCUGGACUGAAAAUGCUCAACGCAGAUUUGAAGGUGCUGGCGGUCUUUUUCAGAAAUCAGGAACGGCAAAAAUGCCUUUAUCUUGGAAUGAUUUUCCGGAGGAGCAUUAUCUCUGAAAGAUGUCACCGAUUGCUCCGGCAUUGGACAGAAGUCCUUCCGAACUGUUUCGCCCACAGCGUUGUACGCGGCGGGAGUUUGGAUUUGAUUGGAUUGGCCCUUCGUGUAAUCAUUCCAUUUUACCAGCAUACCAUGUCGGUGUUCCGAUGGUUGAAGCAAAUCACUGGGUCGGGCUGAAUUCCAGUACCGCAAAGGAGAAGGUCGAAAAGCCUGGUCUUGGUGCCGAGCAGUUGUAGCAGUAACGUGUAGUUUCAGUCCAAGAACGACCAAAAUACAUUGGCAAAAACAAAAGUGUAGUUGAAUAUUGUUUAAGUGUAGUAUUAUGAAAAAAGUUUUCAAUAAAAUUUAAAUAGGAAA